rnacentral:rRNA from 1 species
GAUGAACGCUGGCGGCGUGCCUAAUACAUGCAAGUCGAGCGAACGGACGAGAAGCUUGCUUCUCUGAUGUUAGCGGCGGACGGGUGAGUAACACGUGGAUAACCUACCUACAAGACUGGGAUAACUUCGGGAAACCGGAGCUAAUACCGGAUGAUAUUUUGAACCGCAUGGUUCAAAAGUGAAAGACGGUCUUGCUGUCACUUAUAGAUGGAUCCGCGCUGCAUUAGCUAGUUGGUAAGGUAACGGCUUACCAAGGCAACGAUGCAUAGCCGACCUGAGGGGGGGAUCGGCCACACUGGAACUGAGACACGGUCCAGACUCCUACGGGAGGCAGCAGUAGGGAAUCUUCCGCAAUGGGCGAAAGCCUGACGGAGCAACGCCGCGUGAGUGAUGAAGGUCUUCGGAUCGUAAAACUCUGUUAUUAGGGAAGAACAUAUGUGGAAGUAACUGUGCACAUCUUGACGGUACCUAAUCAGAAAGCCACGGCUAACUACGUG